CCUGUCUUCUGCAUGUGUGACGUUCCACAAAUUAUAUUGCAUGCCAAGAACACAGAGCUCUGCCACCACAAUGAUGGUGUGACUCUUCAGAGCAUGUGUAGUGUGUGCUGCGUUCUGGGAAGGUGCUAACAGGCCUUGUACACCUCCUCACAAGGGCCAUUUUCUUGGAUUGGACCUUGGUAGUUGGGUUGGUUGUUGUAUUAGAAUGACUGUUGGAUGGGGUUGGGAGUUGUUGACUUGGUCAUUUCUUUGUAGUGACUGUUGAUGUUUGGAGUUGGGAGUUGUUAGGCUGGUUGUUUUUCUUUUAGCAAUGAUUUUUGGUCAGAUCUGGAUGAGUGUGUUUUGGGCUGGGUCGAUGUCCCUUAUGGACCAUUGAUAUUGGGUUGAAUCGGCUAGUCGUUGUCUUUGAAUGACCGUUGAUGUUGGGAGUUAGUACAGUUCUUGGAGUGACUCUUGAUGUUGGUUUGGUCCCUGUUAGGAGUUUUUGGGCUGGUCCUUGUUUCGGAGUAACCAUUGGUAUUUGGUUGGACCAUGGCUGGUCCUUAUCUUGGGGCGACUGUUAAUGUUUGGUUAAACCUUGUUGAGAUUUGGGCUGUUGCCUUAGUGACUGUUGAUUUUGGGAGUUGUAAGACUGGUUCUUGAAGUGACCAUUUAUCUUGGAAGUUGUUGGGAUGGUUGUUUAUUUGGGUGACCAUUGAUUUUGGGAAUUGUUAGACUGGUUGUGGUCUUGAAGUGACCAUUGAUGUUGGGAGUUGUGGACUGUUGAUGCUUUGGACCUUGUUGGGAGUUGAGCUGACUGUCUUGAAGUGACCAUUGAUGUUGGUUUGGACUUUAUGUGGAAGGUGGGCUUGUUGUUUUGGGGUGACUAUCGAUGUUGUGAGUUGUUGUCUUGGAGUGACUGUUGAUUUUGGGUUGGACCUUGUUGAGAGAUGGGCUGCUUAUUGCUUUGGAAUGGCCGUUGAUGUUGGUUUGGACUUCAUUGGGAGGUGGGCUUGUGUUGAAGUGACUGUUUUUAUAGGGCUGCUUUUCUUGUAGCGCUGCCUUCAGUUCAUUAUUCAUUGUUUGCAUAAUCUUUAGGAUAAUUGGUCAGGUUUUUUCAGGAACAUAUGGCAGAGAUCCUGGUAUUGUGAUGGCCACUGCUGUGACUACUUUGGUAGUUAGAGAAGGUGUUGUGAGGUUGCAGUGUAACCCCAACCUCGUGUCUUUCAUCUCUUUGGCUUCAUUAUUGUCCCCAGCCUAUAAUGUCACCUUUUACUUCAGAGCACAAUUGACAACACUUUUAGGGCACACAGUGUGAGUGAGGAGACAUCGAGUCACACGAGGUCUGAGAGUCGUAGAGUGGGGACAAUAAUAGGUGCAGGACAGCCAUUAUUUUAUAGUGCAUGUCUUGGGGUUGCUGUGAUGGUGCUUUUUGGGGUGUAUUUUUAUUUAUUUUUUAUUACAUUUUUUUUCUUCCUGA